GAUGAACGCUGGCGGCGUGCCUAAUACAUGCAAGUCGAGCGAACAGAUGAGGAGCUUGCUCCUCUGACGUUAGCGGCGGACGGGUGAGUAACACGUGGAUAACCUACCUAUAAGACUGGGAUAACUUCGGGAAACCGGAGCUAAUACCGGAUAAUAUAUUGAACCGCAUGGUUCAAUAGUGAAAGACGGUUUUGCUGUCACUUAUAGAUGGAUCCGCGCCGCAUUAGCUAGUUGGUAAGGUAACGGCUUACCAAGGCAACGAUGCGUAGCCGACCUGAGAGGGUGAGCGCCCACACGGGAACGGAGACACGGUCCAGACUCCUAGGGGAGGAAGCAGUAGGAAAGUGUCCACAAGGGGCAAAAGCCGGCGGGAGCACCGCCGCGGGAGGGAGAAAGGUUUUCGUAUCGAAAACCUUUGUUAUGGGGAAAAAAAAAAUGUGUAAUUAAAUAUGCACGUCUUGCGGUUACCUAAUAAGAAGCCCACGGCUAGCUACGUC
rnacentral:rRNA from 1 species